GUGUUCGUAGCUCAGUUGGAUAGAGUGUUGGCCUCCGAAGCCAAAGGUCGCGGGUUCGACUCCCGCCGAGCGCGCCA
rnacentral:tRNA from 1 species